rnacentral:misc_RNA from 1 species
UCCGGCUUGUCACCGGCAGUUCCGCCAAAGUGCCCAACUUAAUGAUGGCAACUGGCAGCAGGGGUUGCGUUCGUUGCGGGACUUAACCCAACAUCUCACGACACGAACUGACGACAGCCAUGCAACACCUGUGUGAAAUCCAGCCGAACUGACUGAAUGAUCUCUCAUUCAUACGAUUUCCAUGUCAAGAGCUGGUAAGGUUCUUCGCGUAGUUUCGAAUUAAACCACAUACUCCACCGCUUGUGCGGGUCCCCGUCAAUUCCUUUGAGUUUUAAUCUUGCGACCGUACUCCCCAGGCGGUGUGCUUAUCGCGUUAGCUGCGACACUGAAUAGCUAAACUAUCCAACAUCUAGCACACAUCGUUUACAGCGUGGACUAC